GACGAACGCUGGCGGCGUGCUUAACACAUGCAAGUCGAACGGAAAGGCCUGCUUUCCCUUGUGGAUUGCGGGUACUCGAGUGGCGAACGGGUGAGUAACACGUGAGUGAUCUGCCCCCAACUUGGGUAUAAGCCUGGGAAACUGGGUCUAAUUCCCGAUAGGACUGCAGGGUGGUGCCUGUGGUGGAAAACGAUUUUCUAGUGGUUGGGGAUGAGCUCGCGGCCUAUCGGCUCGUUGGUGGGGUAAUGGCCUACCAAGGCGGCGACGGGUAGCCGGCCUGGGGGGGUGGACGGCCACAUUGGGACUGAGAUACGGCCCAGACUCCUACGGGAGGCAGCAGUGGGGAAUAUUGCACAAUGGGCGGAAGCCUGAUGCAGCGACGCCGCGUGGGGGAUGACGGCCUUCGGGUUGUAAACUCCUUUCGACCGCGAGGAAGCCACCUGGUUGGAAGGGUGGUGACGGUAGUGGUAGAAGAAGCACCGGCUAACUACGUG
rnacentral:rRNA from 1 species